CCGUGGCCGCCGUCGAGCUGGGCGCGUUUCCCCCGGGUUCGUGUACGGCGGGGACGAAGGAGGUACGGUGUGCGUGGCGUUGUCAGGGGGUGCAGGCAGCGCUGUCAUCGCGACGGUCGGGCUUGCCAACCUAAAAUUAGAGUGGUCAGAGUUUCAGGCGGCGAGAAAGAGGCGGAGCGUAGACAGGGGCGAUUUAUUCGAGUCUCUCAGCCACGAGCUGAAGGCACGGCGCUGGUGGCGGCAGGUGGACCGUGGACUGGUGUCGUCGUCGGCAUGCUCGAUCAGUCCUGAAAGCGCAAGCAGGAGGAAAUAGGGAGUGACACGGUCGACGUCUGUCGAUUUUGUUCUUUCUGAGCUUGCCGGCCCUUAUUUGGGGCCUUGGGUGGCGAUGGUGCUUGUAUGUGAAGGAGAUGGGGCUGCAGUCGACGGCCAACAAGCAUGGAUUAGUUUUGUUGCAUGAUGUGGAGGAAUCAGAGUAUUACAAUAAUUUUAAAGCCUGUUUUAUAAGCCUACAGACCCCAAGAGUAAAUUUCAAGAGGUUUUUUUAUGUGUGCGGUCUCAUGAAUGUUGAACCUUAAUCAUUGUGCUAUAUACAUAUCUGGUCACACUGAAUUUGUUACUGUAUUAUUUUUGUCAUAGCACAUGAGGUAUGU